rnacentral:rRNA from 1 species
CCUACCCAUAGGUUGGGGACAACUCCGGGAAACCGGAGCUAAUACCGAAUAAUAUUUCAAGAACGCAUGUUUUUGAAAUCAAAGGAGGCCUCUCUAUAGAAGCUUCUGCCCAUGGAUGGAUCCGCGUCUGAUUAGCUAGUUGGUGGGGUAAUGGCCUACCAAGGCGACGAUCAGUAGCCGGCCUGGGAGGGUGAACGGCCACACUGGGACUGAGACACGGCCCAGACUCCUACGGGAGGCAGCAGUGGGGAAUCUUCCGCAAUGGGCGAAAGCCUGACGGAGCAAUGCCGCGUGAAUGAAGAAGGCCUUCGGGUUGUAAAGUUCUGUUGAGAAGGAAGAAAGAUCUAAGAGCUAAUACCUCUUAAGUUUGACGGUACUUUUCGAGGAAGCCCCGGCUAACUACGUGCCAGCAGCCGCGGUAAUACGUAGGGGGCAAGCGUUGUCCGGAAUCACUGGGCGUAAAGCGCAUGUAGGCGGGAUAUUAAGUCAGGUGUGAAAACUACAGGCUCAACCUGUAAAUUGCAUUUGAAAUUGGUAUUCUUGAGUAUUGGAGAGGAAAGUGGAAUUCCUAGUGUAGCGGUGAAAUGCGUAGAUAUUAGGAGGAACACCAGUGGCGAAGGCGACUUUCUG